GAGUUUGAUCGUGGCUCAGGAUGAACGCUGGCGGCGUGCCUAAUUCAUGCAAGUCGAGCGAACGGACGAGAAGCUUGCUUCUCUGAUGUUAGCGGCGGACGGGUGAGUAACACGUGGAUAACCUACCUAUAAGACUGGGAUAACUUCGGGAAACCGGAGCUAAUACCGGAUAAUAUUUUGAACCGCAUGGUUCAAAAGUGAAAGACGGUCUUGCUGUCACUUAUAGAUGGAUCCGCGCUGCAUUAGCUAGUUGGUAAGGUAACGGCUUACCAAGGCAACGAUGCAUAGCCGACCUGAGAGGGUGAUCGGCCACACUGGAACUGAGACACGGUCCAGACUCCUACGGGAGGCAGCAGUAGGGAAUCUUCCGCAAUGGGCGAAAGCCUGACGGAGCAACGCCGCGUGAGUGAUGAAGGUCUUCGGAUCGUAAAACUCUGUUAUUAGGGAAGAACAUAUGUGUAAGUAACUGUGCACAUCUUGACGGUACCUAAUCAGAAAGCCACGGCUAAC
rnacentral:rRNA from 1 species